AUUGAACGCUGGCGGCAGGCCUAACACAUGCAAGUCGAGCGAGCGGCGGACGGGUGAGUAAUGUCUGGGAAACUGCCUGAUGGCGGGUGAUAACUACUGGAAACGGUAGCUAAUACCGCAUACCAUCAGAUGUGCCCAGAUGGGAGUAGCUAGUAGGUGGUGUAAUGGCUCACCUAGGCGACGAUCCCUAGCUGGUCUGCGAGGAUGACCAGGCACACUGGAACGUGGACACGGUCCAUACUCCUACGGGAGGCAGCAGGGGGGAAUAUUGCAAAAUGGGCGCAAGCCUGAUGCAGCCAUGCCGCGUGUGGGAAGAAGGCCUUCGGGUUGUAAAGCACUUUCAGCGGGGAGGCGUUACCCGCAGAAGAAGCACCGGCUAACUCCGUGCCAGCCGCCGCGGUAAUAC
rnacentral:rRNA from 1 species